rnacentral:rRNA from 1 species
CCUUGUACACACCGCCCGUCAAGCCACGAGAGUGGGCAGUACCCGAAGUCGCUGACCCAACCCUCCGGGGAGGGAGGUGCCGACGGUAAGGCUCAUGAUUGGGACU